CUCCACCUUAGUCAGUCUCUGGCGAUCGAACGGUGCACACCUGUGUUAGCGGUGUGUUUUUGGUAAGACAGCGUCGAAGCUGUAAAACGGCGACGGUGAAGUAGAAGACGCGCGAAAGAAGAAAGAAAGAAGCGACACAGCAACAACACAAAUUGAAGAAGCCACUCUGCCGGGCAGCUACAUAUUUACGCGUGUGUGUGUGUUAGUGUGUGCGUGCUUAAAUCUAUGAAAAGUGAAUAACUAAAACGAGCUCAAAGCUACAAAAGUGUGUGCGUAAAAGAAAACAACAACCACAACAACAAAAUAGAGUGUUUUCUUUAUCUCUAGAAGAAGCAGCCGCAAAAGUUUUGUGUUUUGGGUGAAAUUUGUUCCAUUAGUAACGUUGCUUAUGUGCAAAAACUAAUUGAAAAUAUCGUGCAAUAGAAAGAGAAAUAAAAAAGGAAAAGGAAAACAAUAAUCAGAAAACAUCAAUCGCAAAAAGCUGGUGAAUUGGCGAAUCACAUGAUUAAUGGCAGUGUUUUGAGCAUAAAUCUGCAUGAGGAGAGCAGCAAAAUGCCACCACAAACUACAAUUCAACAAUAAAACAAUCUGAAAAAAAAAACACAUAAACAAACCACACAGAGAGAUUGAAAACCCGCAAAGUGUGGCACAGAGGAGUUGCAGGAGAAGAAAAAGGAGGAGCCAUUGGAUUUAUGCAAAAAGGCGACGAA